AGAGUUUGAUCCUGGCUCAGAGUGAACGCCGGCGGUAGGCCUGACACAUGCAAGUCGAACGGCAGCACAGUAAGAGCUUGCUCUUAUGGGUGGCGAGUGGCGGACGGGUGAGGAAUACAUCGGAAUCUACUCUGUCGUGGGGGAUAACGUAGGGAAACUUACGCUAAUACCGCAUACGACCUACGGGUGAAAGCAGGGGAUCUUCGGACCUUGCGCGAUUGAAUGAGCCGAUGUCGGAUUAGCUAGUUGGCGGGGUAAAGGCCCACCAAGGCGACGAUCCGUAGCUGGUCUGAGAGGAUGAUCAGCCACACUGGAACUGAGACACGGUCCAGACUCCUACGGGAGGCAGCAGUGGGGAAUAUUGGACAAUGGGCGCAAGCCUGAUCCAGCCAUACCGCGUGGGUGAAGAAGGCCUUCGGGUUGUAAAGCCCUUUUGUUGGGAAAGAAAUCCAGCUGGCUAAUACCCGGUUGGGAUGACGGUACCCAAAGAAUAAGCACCGGCUAACUUCGUGCCAGCAGCCGCGGUAAUACGAAGGGUGCAAGCGUUACUCGGAAUUACUGGGCGUAAAGCGUGCGUAGGUGGUCGUUUAAGUCCGUUGUGAAAGCCCUGGGCUCAACCUGGGAACUGCAGUGGAUACUGGGCGACUAGAGUGUGGUAGAGGGUAGCGGAAUUCCUGGUGUAGCAGUGAAAUGCGU
rnacentral:rRNA from 1 species